rnacentral:rRNA from 1 species
AUUAAACGCUGGCGGCAUGCCUUACACAUGCAAGUCGAACGGCAGCACGGGGGCAACCCUGGUGGCGAGUGGCGGACGGGUGAGUAAAGCAUCGGAACGUAUCCUGGAGUGGGGGAUAACGUAGCGAAAGUUACGCUAAUACCGCAUAUUCUGUGAGCAGGAAAGCAGGGGAUCGCAAGACCUUGCGCUCUGGGAGCGGCCGAUGUCGGAUUAGCUAGUUGGUGGGGUAAAGGCCUACCAAGGCGACGAUCCGUAGCGGGUCUGAGAGGAUGAUCCGCCACACUGGGACUGAGACACGGCCCAGACUCCUACGGGAGGCAGCAGUGGGGAAUUUUUGGACAAUGGGCGCAAGCCUGAUCCAGCCAUGCCGCGUGAGUGAAGAAGGCCUUCGGGUUGUAAAGUACUCUUUCGGCGGGGUAAGGAAAUUAGCACGGGUUAAGUUAACCCUCGUGUUAGAGUGACGGUACCCGGAACUAAGAAGACACCGGACCUAACUAACCGUCGCCAGGCCAGCCGCCGGUAAUAACG